UGAAGCCCUUCGGGGUGGAUUAGUGGCGAACGGGUGAGUAACACGUGGGCAAUCUGCCCUUCACUCUGGGACAAGCCCUGGAAACGGGGUCUAAUACCGGAUAACACUUCCGUCCUCCUGGACGGUGGUUAAAAGCUCCGGCGGUGAAGGAUGAGCCCGCGGCCUAUCAGCUUGUUGGUGAGGUAAUGGCUCACCAAGGCGACGACGGGUAGCCGGCCUGAGAGGGCGACCGGCCACACUGGGACUGAGACACGGCCCAGACUCCUACGGGAGGCAGCAGUGGGGAAUAUUGCACAAUGGGCGAAAGCCUGAUGCAGCGACGCCGCGUGAGGGAUGACGGCCUUCGGGUUGUAAACCUCUUUCAGCAGGGAAGAAGCGAAAGUGACGGUACCUGCAGAAGAAGCGCCGGCUAACUACGUGCCAGCAGCCGCGGUAAUACGUAGGGCGCAAGCGUUGUCCGGAAUUAUUGGGCGUAAAGAGCUCGUAGGCGGCUUGUCACGUCGGUUGUGAAAGCCCGGGGCUUAACCCCGGGUCUGCAGUCGAUACGGGCAGGCUAGAGUGUGGUAGGGGAGAUCGGAAUUCCUGGUGUAGCGGUGAAAUGCGCAGAUAUCAGGAGGAACACCGGUGGCGAAGGCGGAUCUCUGGGCCAUUACUGACGCUGAGGAGCGAAAGCGUGGGGAGCGAACAGGAUUAGAUACCCUGGUAGUCCACGCCGUAAACGGUGGGAACUAGGUGUUGGCGACAUUCCACGUCGUCGGUGCCGCAGCUAACGCAUUAAGUUCCCCGCCUGGGGAGUACGGCCGCAAGG
rnacentral:rRNA from 1 species